rfam:Myotis lucifugus cont2.15617, whole genome shotgun sequence.
UAGUCCAAUAAGUCAUUCUUAUUUACUGUGGCCUCAAGGAAUGUGACCCUUGGUCU